rnacentral:misc_RNA from 1 species
GAUGAAGAACGUAGCGAAUUGCGAUACGUAAUGUGAAUUGCAGAAUUCAGUGAAUCAUCGAGUCUUUGAACGCACAUUGCGCCCCCUGGUAUUCCGGGGGGCAUGCCUGUCCGAGCGUCAUUGCUGCCCUCAAGCACGGCUUGUGUGUUGGGCCUCCGUCCUCCUCCCGGGGGACGGGCCCGAAAGGCAGCGGCGGCACCGCGUCCGGUCCUCGAGCGUAUGGGGCUUCGUCACCCGCUCUUGUAGGCCCGGCCGGCGCUUGCCGACACAUCAAUCUUUUUUCCAGGUUGACCUCGGAUCAGGUAGGGAUACCCGCUGAACUUAAGCAUAUCAAUAAGCGGAGGA